AGUGAACGCUGGCGGUAGGCCUAACACAUGCAAGUCGAACGGCAGCACAGUAAGCGCUUGCUCUUACGGGUGGCGAGUGGCGGACGGGUGAGGAAUACAUCGGAAUCUACUUUUUCGUGGGGGAUAACGUAGGGAAACUUACGCUAAUACCGCAUACGACCUACGGGUGAAAGCAGGGGAUCUUCGGACCUUGCGCGAUUGAAUGAGCCGAUGUCGGAUUAGCUAGUUGGCGGGGUAAAGGCCCACCAAGGCGACGAUCCGUAGCUGGUCUGAGAGGAUGAUCAGCCACACUGGAACUGAGACACGGUCCAGACUCCUACGGGAGGCAGCAGUGGGGAAUAUUGGACAAUGGGCGCAAGCCUGAUCCAGCCAUACCGCGUGGGUGAAGAAGGCCUUCGGGUUGUAAAGCCCUUUUGUUAGGAAAGAAAAGCAGCAGGUUAAUACCCCGCUGUUCUGACGGUACCCAAAGAAUAAGCACCGGCUAACUUCGUG
rnacentral:rRNA from 1 species